UCGGUCUCUUCUCACCAAAUUUCUUUGUGUUUUCCCAGGUUGGUGAUUCAUGAUAAAGCUAGAGCCCUAGCCUAUAGCAAUCAUAAUUAAUUCCCCGAUUUAUUUACCCAGGUACGUGAAGACGCCCCCUUUUUCCCGGUGUGGGUGGAACUAGUGCAGGUUUUAAGCACAUUUCUUUUUUCUUAUUUUUAAAGGUUGGUGAUUCAUGAUAAAGCUAGAGCCCUAGCCUAUAGCAAUCAUAAUUAAUUCCCCGAUUUAUUUACCCAGGUACGUGAAGACGCCCCCUUUUUCCCGGUGUGGGUGGAACUAGUGCAGGUUUUAAGCACAUUUCUUUUUUCUUAUUUUUAAAGGUUGGUGAUUCAUGAUAAAGCUAGAGCCCUAGCCUAUAGCAAUCAUAAUUAAUUCCCCGAUUUAUUUACCCAGGUACGUGAAGACGCCCCCUUUUUCCCGGUGUGGGUGGAACUAGUGCAGGUUUUAAGCACAUUUCUUUUUUCUUAUUUUUAAAGGUUGGUUUGUGCAC